GAUGAACGCUGGCGGCGUGCCUAAUACAUGCAAGUCGAGCGAACAGACGAGGAGCUUGCUCCUCUGACGUUAGCGGCGGACGGAUGAGUAACACGUGGAUAACCUACCUAUAAGACUGGGAUAACUUCGGGAAACCGGAGCUAAUACCGGAUAAUAUAUUGAACCGCAUGGUUCAAUAGUGAAAGACGGUUUUGCUGUCACUUAUAGAUGGAUCCGCGCCGCAUUAGCUAGUUGGUAAGGUAACGGCUUACCAAGGCAACGAUGCGUAGCCGACCUGAGAGGGUGAUCGGCCACACUGGAACUGAGACACGGUCCAGACUCCUACGGGAGGCAGCAGUAGGGAAUCUUCCGCAAUGGGCGAAAGCUUGACGGAGCAACGCCGCGUGAGUGAUGAAGGUCUUCGGAUCGUAAAACUCUGUUAUUAGGGAAGAACAAAUGUGUAAGUAACUAUGCACGUCUUGACGGUACCUAAUCAGAAAGCCACGGCUAACUACGUG
rnacentral:rRNA from 1 species